GACGGGUGAGUAACGCGUGGGUAACCUGCCUCACACAGGGGGAUAACAGUUGGAAACGGCUGCUAAUACCGCAUAAGCGCACAGUACCGCAUGGUACGGUGUGAAAAACUCCGGUGGUGUGAGAUGGACCCGCGUCUGAUUAGCUAGUUGGCAGGGCAACGGCCUACCAAGGCGACGAUCAGUAGCCGACCUGAGAGGGUGACCGGCCACAUUGGGACUGAGACACGGCCCAAACUCCUACGGGAGGCAGCAGUGGGGAAUAUUGCACAAUGGGGGAAACCCUGAUGCAGCGACGCCGCGUGAGCGAAGAAGUAUUUCGGUAUGUAAAGCUCUAUCAGCAGGGAAGAAGAAAUGACGGUACCUGACUAAGAAGCACCGGCUAAAUACGUGCCAGCAGCCGCGGUAAUACGUAUGGUGCAAGCGUUAUCCGGAUUUACUGGGUGUAAAGGGAGCGCACGCGGAAGGCUAAGUCUGAUGUGAAAGCCCGGGGCUCAACCCCGGUACUGCAUUGGAAACUGGUCAUCUAGAGUGUCGGAGGGGUAAGUGGAAUUCCUAGUGUAGCGGUGAAAUGC
rnacentral:rRNA from 1 species